AUGAACGCUAGCUACAGGCUUAACCCAUGCAAGUCGCAGGGUAACAUGAGGAAAGCUUGCUUUCCUUGAUGACGACUGGCGCACGGGUGAGUAACGCGUAUCCAACCUUCCCAUAACUACGGGAUAACCCGUUGAAAGACGGCCUAAUACCGUAUGAUAUCGUUUGCUGACAUCAAAUAACGAUUAAAGGUUUAGCGGUUAUGGAUGGGGAUGCGUCUGAUUAGCUUGUUGGCGGGGUAACGGCCCACCAAGGCGACGAUCAGUAGGGGUUCUGAGAGGAAGGUCCCCCACAUUGGAACUGAGACACGGUCCAAACUCCUACGGGAGGCAGCAGUGAGGAAUAUUGGUCAAUGGGCGAGAGCCUGAACCAGCCAAGUAGCGUGCAGGAUGACGGCCCUAUGGGUUGUAAACUGCUUUUAUGUGGGGAUAAAGUGCGUGACGUGUCAUGCAUUGCAGGUACCACAUGAAUAAGGACCGGCUAAUUCCGUG
rnacentral:rRNA from 1 species